rnacentral:rRNA from 1 species
UGGGGGAUAUUGCACAAUGGGCGAAAGCCUGAUGCAGCGACGCCGCGUGGGGGAUGAAGGCCUUCGGGUUGUAAACUUCUUUUGCUCUGAACAAGGCAUGCCUUUGGGGUGUGUUGAGUGUAGGGGUUGAUUAGCGCCGGCUAACUACGUGCCAGCAGCCGCGGUAAUACGUAGGGCGCGAGCGUUGUCCGGAAUUAUUGGGCGUAAAGGGCUUGUAGGUGGCUGGUUGCGUCUGUCGUGAACGCUCAUGGCUUAACUGUGGGUUUGCGGUGGGUACGGGCUGGCUUGAGUGCAGUAGGGGAGGCUGGAAUUCCUGGUGUAGCGGUGGAAUGCGCAGAUAUCAGGAGGAAUACCGGUGGCGAAGGCGGGUCUCUGGGCUGUUACUGACGCUGAGGAGCGAAAGCGUGGGGAGCGAACAGG